UACGGAGGGUGCUAGCGUUGUUCGGAAUCACUGGGCGUAAAGCGCGUGUAGGCGGCCUCCCAAGUCUGAUGUGAAAGCCCGGGGCUCACCCCCGGAAGUGCAUUGGAAACUGAGAGGCUCGAGUCCCGGAGAGGAGAGUGGAAUUCCUGGUGUAGCGGUGAAAUGCGUAGAUAUCAGGAGGAAUAUCGAUGGCGAAGGCAG
rnacentral:rRNA from 1 species